rnacentral:rRNA from 1 species
GAUGAACGCUGGCGGCGUGCCUAAUACAUGCAAGUCGAACGAGGUCUUCGGACCUAGUGGCGAACGGGUGAGUAACACGUUGGUACCUACCCCGAAGUGGGGAAUAACUGCCCGAAAGGGUGGCUAAUACCGCAUAAUACCGCAAGGUUAAAGCAGUAAUGCGCUUCGGGAGGGGCCUGCGUCCCAUUAGCUAGUUGGUAGGGUAAUGGCCUACCAAGGCGACGAUGGGUAGCUGGAUCGAGAGGUUGACCAGCCACACUGGGACUGAGAUACGGCCCAGACUCCUACGGGAGGCAGCAGUAGGGAAUCUUCCACAAUGGACGAAAGUUUGAUGGAGCAACGCCGCGUGCAGGAUGACGGCCUUCGGGUUGUAAACUGCUUUUAUACGGGAAGAUUAUGACGGUACCGUAUGAAUAAGGACCGGCUAACUACGUGCCAGCCGCCGCGGUAA